rnacentral:rRNA from 1 species
CCCUUAGAUGUCCUGGGCUGCACGCGCGCUACACUGAUGUGUCCAGUAAGCACCUAACCUCUUCCGAAAGGAACGGGUAACCUUUGCAAAGCGCAUCGUGAUGGGGAUAGAUUAUUGCAAUUAUUAGUCUUGAACGAGGAAUUCCUAGUAAGCACAAGUCAUCAGCUUGUGUUGAUUACGUCCCUGCCCUUUGUACACACCGCCCGUCGCUCCUACCGAUUGAAUGUUCCGGUGAGCUCUUCGGACUGCGCGGUCUGCAGUUUCUGCGUUCCGUGCGGAAAGUUGCGCAAACCUUAACAUUUAGAGGAAGGAGAAGUCGUAACA